GGAUGUGUCAUCCCCGCCACAGACUCAGCAUGCCUGAAAACAGCCUCAUCUCCCCUUGCUCCGGAAACGCACCACCCCCCUACACUGACGACGCCCUCCCAGGCACCCAGCCUGAGGCCAUCAACUGGAGUGAAACCAGGACGCACAGAGGCCGCCGGGUGGCGGGCAAGGGGAAAGAGGGCUUCCCUGUUGUCCAGUGUUGGGCAAGAAAGGUGGAGGUAUAUGAAGCCCCGGACGGAGGUGCAGCACCCAUGAAGAAGCUCCGGGCCUCAGGAGGGCUGCUCCGGCUCAGGUUAAAGCCAGGAGCUCCGGGAAACCUGGGCUCAGCCACCACGCCCCAUGGAGGGGACACACCCUUCCCUGCCUUAUGGCAGGGCCUGUGCUGGACAUAACCCAUGACCUCGCCUCUCCUGGCUCCAUGCCACAGCCCUGCCUGCUUCUCGAGAAUUCCAUGACUCAGGUUGGUCUUGAACUCCUGGCCUCAGAUGAUCCUCCCGUCAUGGUCUCCCAAAGCACUGGGCUCACACAGCCUCUUGGGAGUGAUUUCGCAUCGAAAUCAUGGCCUAAUGGGCUCCUGCGUCCUCUGCCCUGUUUAAGGAUGGCAACAGCGAAGUCAAGGAGAGACUGUGGCGUAGGGGUGUGGGCUUGGAACGGAAGACCUGAACUGAAACCACUUUCCUGGGCCUGCCACAUGUUCUCAAAUGUCAAAAUCAUCAUCACAGCCCUAACUAGGACCCCCAGGCCACGGCUGGGGCCACUGCUCUCCACUGGCCCUGGCCUUAGCUCCAGGCCACAGCUGCUUUCCAUUCUCUGA
rnacentral:lncRNA from 13 species